rnacentral:rRNA from 1 species
GACGAACGCUGGCGGCGUGCUUAAUACAUGCAAGUAGAACGCUGAAGGAGGAGCUUGCUUCGCUGGAUGAGUUGCGAACGGGUGAGUAACGCGUAGGUAACCUGCCUGGUAGCGGGGGAUAACUAUUGGAAACGAUAGCUAAUACCGCAUAAGAGUAGAUGUUGCAUGACAUUUGCUUAAAAGGUGCAAUGGCAUCACUACCAGAUGGACCUGCGUUGUAUUGGCUAGUUGGUGGGGUAACGGCUCACCAAGGCGACGAUACAUACCCGACCUGCGAUGGGGGGCGGCCGCACUGGGACUGUGACACGGCCCAGACUCCUACGGGAGGCAGCAGUAGUGAAUCGGCGGCAAUGGACGGAAGUCUGACCGAGCAACGCGGCGUGAGUGAAGAAGGUUUUCGGAUCGUAAAGCUCUGUCGUAAGAGUAGAACGAGUGUGAGAGUGGAAAGUUCACACUGUGACGGUAUCUUACCAGAAAGGGACGGCUAACUACGUG